rnacentral:rRNA from 1 species
GAUGAACGCUGACAGAAUGCUUAACACAUGCAAGUCUACUUGAUCCUUCGGGUGAUGGUGGCGGACGGGUGAGUAACGCGUAAAGAACUUGCCCUGCAGUCUGGGACAACAUUUGGAAACGAAUGCUAAUACCGGAUAUUAUGUGAGUUUCGCAUGAAAUUCAUAUGAAAGCUAUAUGCGCUGCAGGAGAGCUUUGCGUCCUAUUAGCUAGUUGGUGAGGUAACGGCUCACCAAGGCGAUGAUAGGUAGCCGGCCUGAGAGGGUGAACGGCCACAAGGGGACUGAGACACGGCCCUUACUCCUACGGGAGGCAGCAGUGGGGAAUAUUGGACAAUGGACCAAAAGUCUGAUCCAGCAAUUCUGUGUGCACGAUGAAGUUUUUCGGAAUGUAAAGUGCUUUCAGUUGGGACGAAGUAAGUGACGGUACCAACAGAAGAAGCGACGGCUAAAUACGUGCCAGCCGCCGCCGUAA